AGAAUGUUACAACACCUAUCGGUGCUGCGCUGGAGGCCGGGCGCGCGCUCGGCGUGAGGCAGCUUCUGGAAGUUUGCCGAGCACCACUUCCGAACUCGCUGUCCCGGCCGCCCGGCGCCCCGCUGAUGCGAUUGUAUAUCAGUAAAUCAUAUACAGAUUUUAUCGUGCGUAAUGGCUGGCGCGGAGUCGCGCGGCGCAGCGCGCGGGACAGCUCGCAAUAUUCCGAUAUAUCGCGAAACCGUCGCGACCUUUUUU
rnacentral:lncRNA from 1 species